rnacentral:rRNA from 1 species
UACAGAGGCCCCAAGCAUUACCCGGAAUCACUGGGCGUAAAGGGUGUGUAGGCGGUCGUAUUAGUCUUUUGUGAAAGCACCUGGGCUCAACCCAAGUAACGCGAGAGAAACGGUACGACUACGAGGACGUAAGAGGUACAGGGAACUCAUGGUGUAGGGGUGAAAUCCGUUGAUAUCAUGGGGAACACCAAAUGCGAAGGCACUGUACUGGUACUCUCCUGACGCUGAAACACGAAAGCGUGGGAAUCGAACGGG